rnacentral:rRNA from 1 species
GUGGGGAAUCUUGCGCAAUGGGCGAAAGCCUGACGCAGCCAUGCCGCGUGAAUGAUGAAGGUCUUAGGAUUGUAAAAUUCUUUCACCGGGGACGAUAAUGACGGUACCCGGAGAAGAAGCUCCGGCUAACUUCGUGCCAGCAGCCGCGGUAAUACGAAGGGGGCUAGCGUUGCUCGGAAUUACUGGGCGUAAAGGGCGCGUAGGCGGACAGCUUAGUCAGAGGUGAAAGCCCAGGGCUCAACCUUGGAAUUGCCUUUGAUACUGGCUGUCUUGAGUUUGGGAGAGGUGAGUGGAACUCCGAGUGUAGAGGUGAAAUUCGUAGAUAGUCGGAAGAACACCAGUGGCGAAGGCGACUCACUGGCCCAAUACUGACGCUGAGGCGCGAAAGCGUGGGGAGCAAACAGGAUUAGAUACCCUUGUACC